GACGAACGCUGGCGGCGUGCCUAAUACAUGCAAGUAGAACGCUGAAGGAGGAGCUUGCUUCUCUGGAUGAGUUGCGAACGGGUGAGUAACGCGUAGGUAACCUGCCUGGUAGCGGGGGAUAACUAUUGGAAACGAUAGCUAAUACCGCAUAACAGUAGAUAUCGCAUGAUAUCUACUUGAAAGGUGCAAUUGCAUCACUACCAGAUGGACCUGCGUUGUAUUAGCUAGUUGGUGAGGUAACGGCUCACCAAGGCGACGAUACAUAGCCGACCUGAGAGGGUGAUCGGCCACACUGGGACUGAGACACGGCCCAGACUCCUACGGGAGGCAGCAGUAGGGAAUCUUCGGCAAUGGACGGAAGUCUGACCGAGCAACGCCGCGUGAGUGAAGAAGGUUUUCGGAUCGUAAAGCUCUGUUGUAAGAGAAGAACGAGUGUGAGAGUGGAAAGUUCACACUGUGACGGUAUCUUAUCAGAAAGGGACGGCUAACUACGUG
rnacentral:rRNA from 1 species